CCUACGGGUGGCAGCAGUGGGGAAUAUUGCGCAAUGGGCGAAAGCCUGACGCAGCGACGCCGCGUGAGGGAUGAAGGUCUUCGGAUCGUAAACCUCUGUCAGCAGGGAAGAACGGUCACUGUGCUAAUCAGCAGUGAAUUGACGGUACCUGCAAAGGAAGCACCGGCUAACUCCGUGCCAGCAGCCGCGGUAAUACGGAGGGUGCGAGCGUUAAUCGGAAUUACUGGGGUGAAAGCGCUCGUAGGCGGUAUGACAAGUCAAGGGUGAAAGCCCCGCGCUCAACGUGGGAACUGCCUUUGAAACGGGCAAACUGGAGUGUGUGAGAGGAUAGUGGAAUUCCAGGUGUAGGAGUGAAAUCCGUAGAUAUCUGGAGGAACAUCAGUGGCGAAGGCGACUAUCUGGCACAUAACUGACGCUGAGGAGCGAAAGCGUGGGUAGCAAACAGGAUUAGAUACCCCAGUAGUC
rnacentral:rRNA from 1 species